rnacentral:lncRNA from 1 species
AUGUGGAGGCUACUGCAAUCGUGCUGUCGCUGCUGGUGGAUUUUCUCUCUCGUUUUGCCAGCCUUCGUGCUCCUCUGGGCCGAGUGUCAUCCUGCAUCCAUUGGGACACUGCAGACAGGUUGGCAGUCCAUAACAGAGGGCCCAACAAACACGCUGACAGGAAGCCAAGCCGAGUCCCAAGCCCCUAUCCAAGGCCUUCGUGGAGCCACGGCCGACGGGACACGACACAGGAGAGCAGCCACUGAGGAGACCUACUGGGCCUACUCAGCAUGGAAGGCUACCUUUGACCUUCAAGGUGUUGCCCUCCAAUCAUCACACAUGCAUGCUUGUACAUCUACGCGCCGCCCUCAGGGAGAGAAGUCCCCCAAGCUCCCAGGUUUCUGUGCCCUGCCUGGAGGAUGUGUACCUGAGCGAUGAAGCUGCAAAUCAUGAGUACUGAGGAUUCCUGCAAAAUCACUGCAGCUGUUCACAUAUAUUGCUUUGAUAUUACAGUUCCUUUGAUGUAAAACCCUUAAGGGCUUGGAUUGCAUUUUGCCUUUGAGAGCACUGAAAAAUCUCCAGCUCUACUUUGAAGCAGAGACAGUGGCCUGGAACAGCGUGAUCUCUGUCUCCAGGGCAAACACAAGAACAUGAAGAUGCCAAAUGCUACAGCAAAAUAAAAAUCUAUUUGGUGCAGAACCUUAACAGACUGUAAAUAAACAGACUUAUGAUUGCACUUGGUUGUUGAAAUACAUUCAAUUUGGCAAAACUGACCACACUGUAUGUCUUUUAUUCCCUCCAGUAAGCAGUGUUGAAAAGGUCGGAACCCAGACAAUGAUCGACCAAAAUUCACUUUUUAAAGGAAUUAGAAACUCCUUAGCUCUUUCAAGCAUCCUCUUUAGCAAAUGGUCUGAACGGCCAAUAUUCUACUUGAGGUAAAAGGUGUUAUCUCCUCAGCUUGAAAGGUUGCUUUCUUUGUGUGCACACUACACUUUUUGCACCUUUGAUUUCAGCAACGGGUCAAUUAUGUGUAUUAACUCUGGUGGUUUUUGCCAAGCCAUUAGGUGCCAGCAUUUGUCUUUUACAAGGCACACCAUAUGGAUUUUAUUGAUCGUGAGUGGUCUUAACAGAACAUUUUAAGACCCACAUAAACAUUUACUGUAACAAUGCACCCAUUUGGACAGGGGAGAAUUCAUAAUGCAGUGCUGUAAAUCUAAAUUAGUCUAAGUGUCUCUGUAGAUAUUUCUGCCUAUGCAGCUCAUCAUGAUGUUAUUUGUUCUGGAUGCAUUUCAGCGGCCGUGAUUACUCUUGAUAUGUUGUAACUUACUUCUAAUGUCUCAUAUGUUGUUUCUCACUGCAAGCAAAGGCUGGUGGUUACCAGGAAAUAGAUGUAAAGUAGCUUGGAAUACAACUUAGACAAGUAUAUUAUAAUUAUAACAUAAAUCAUAAUCAUGACAAUGCAUAUCAUGAAUAGGACUUUAUGGAUAAUUGUGAUGAUACAGCCGUGUUUCACUAAUAAUAUUUGUUAUUUAGUAAGUUAUUUUUAUGACUUAGUUUCUCCUAAUUAAAACUUUUUGUCAUUAUUGCUGAAAUUUUUACUGUGUUUGGACAGUAUUAUUAAUACUUAAAAAGCUAGUUAC